UACGUAGGGGGCGAGCGUUGUCCGGAAUCAUUGGGCGUAAAGCGCGUGUAGGCGGCUCAGUAAGUCUGGUGUGAAAUCUUGGGGCUCAACCCCAAGCCUGCACUGGAUACUGCGGAGCUUGAGUCCGGGAGGGGAGAGCGGAAUUCCUAGUGUAGCGGUGAAAUGCGCAGAUAUUAGGAAGAACACCGGUGGCGAAGGCGGCUCUCUGGAACGGUACUGACGCUGAGACGCGAAAGCGUGGGGAGCGAACAGG
rnacentral:rRNA from 1 species